GAUGAACGCUGGCGGCGUGCCUAAUACAUGCAAGUCGAGCGAACAGACGAGGAGCUUGCUCCUCUGACGUUAGCGGCGGACGGGUGAGUAACACGUGGAUAACCUACCUAUAAGACUGGGAUAACUUCGGGAAACCGGAGCUAAUACCGGAUAAUAUAUUGAACCGCAUGGUUCGAUAGUGAAAGACGGUUUUGCUGUCACUUAUAGAUGGAUCCGCGCCGCAUUAGCUAGUUGGUAAGGUAACGGCUUACCGAGGCAACGAUGCGUAGCCGACCUGAGAGGGUGAUCGGCCACACUGGAACUGAGACACGGUCCAGACUCCUACGGGAGGCAGCAGUAGGGAAUCUUCCGCAAUGGGCGAAAGCCUGACGGAGCAACGCCGCGUGAGUGAUGAAGGUCUUCGGAUCGUAAAACUCUGUUAUUAGGGAAGAACAAAUGUGUAAGUAACUAUGCACGUCUUGACGGUACCUAAUCAGAAAGCCACGGCUAACUACGUG
rnacentral:rRNA from 1 species